AGAGUUUGAUCAUGGCUCAGAACGUACGCUGGCGGCACGCCUAACACAUGCAAGUCGAACGAAGUAGCAAUACUUAGUGGCAGACGGGUGAGUAACAUGUAGGUAUCUGCCCUUUGGCCUGGAAUAACACGAGGAAACUUGUGCUAAUACCGGAUAAGUCUUUACGGAGAAAGCUUUAUGCACCAUUGGAUGAGCCCGCACUUGAUUAGUUUGUUGGUAGGGUAAUGGCCUACCAAGACUAUGAUCAAUAGCUGAUUUGAGAGGAUGAUCAGCCACAUUGGGACUGAGACACGGCCCAAACUCCUACGGGAGGCAGCAGUGGGGAAUCUUGCACAAUGGAGGAAACUCUGAUGCAGCGAUGCCGCGUGAGUGAAGAAGGCCUUUGGGUUGUAAAGCUCUUUCGUCGGGGAAGAAAAUGACUGUACCCGAAUAAGAAGGUCCGGCUAACUUCGUGCCAGCAGCCGCGGUAAUACGAAGGGACCUAGCGUAGUUCGGAAUUACUGGGCUUAAAGAGUUCGUAGGUGGUUGAAAAAGUUGGUGGUGAAAUCCCAGAGCUUAACUCUGGAACUGCCAUCAAAACUUUUCAGCUAGAGUAUGAUAGAGGAAAGCAGAAUUUCUAGUGUAGAGGUGAAAUUCGUAGAUAUUAGAAAGAAUACCAAUUGCGAAGGCAGCUUUCUGGAUCAUUACUGACACUGAGGAACGAAAGCAUGGGUAGCGAAGAGGAUUAGAUACCCUCGUAGUCCAUGCCGUAAACGAUGUGUGUUAGACGUUGGAAAUUUAUUUUCAGUGUCGCAGGGAAACCGAUAAACACACCGCCUGGGGAGUACGACCGCAAGGUUAAAACUCAAAUGAAUUGACGGGGACCCGCACAAGCGGUGGAGCAUGUGGUUUAAUUCGAAGAUACGCGCAGAACCUUACCAACCCUUGACAUGUCUGUCGCGAGUUUAGGAAACUAGACUUUUCGGUUCGGCCGGACAGAACACAGGUGCUGCAUGGCUGUCGUCAGCUCGUGUCGUGAGAUGUUGGGUUAAGUCCCGCAACGAGCGCAACCCUCACUUUUAGUUGCCAUCAUUAAGUUGGGCACUCUGAAAGAACUGCCAGUGAUAAGCUGGAGGAAGGUGGGGAUGACGUCAAGUCCUCAUGGCCCUUACGUGUUGGGCUACACACGUGCUACAAUGGCAUCUACAACAGGAAGCAAAACGGCAACGUUAAGCAAAUCCCGAAAAGAUGCCUCAGUUCGGAUUGCACUCUGCAACUCGAGUGCAUGAAGCUGGAAUUACUAGUAAUCGUGGAUCAGCGUGCCACGGUGAAUGCGUUCCCGGGUCUUGUACACACCGCCCGUCACACCAUGGGAGUUGGUUCUACCUUAAGGCAAGGUUUUAAACCCUUGACCACGGUAUAGUCAGCGACUGGGGUGAAGUCGUAACAAGGUAGCCGUAGGGGAACCUGCGGCUG
rnacentral:rRNA from 1 species